rnacentral:rRNA from 1 species
ACUCCUACGGGAGGCAGCAGUGGGGAAUCUUAGACAAUGGGCGCAAGCCUGAUCUAGCCAUGCCGCGUGAGUGAUGAAGGCCUUAGGGUCGUAAAGCUCUUUCGCCAGGGAUGAUAAUGACAGUACCUGGUAAACGAAACCCCGGCUAACUCCGUGCCAGCAGCCGCGGUAAUACGGAGGGGUUAGCGUUGUUCGGAAUUACUGGGCGUAAAGCGCGCGUAGGCGGAUUAGUCAGUUAGAGGUGAAAUCCCGAGGGCUCAACCCUGGAACUGCCUUUAAUACUGCUAGUCUUGAGUUCGAGAGAGGUGAGUGGAAUUCCGAGUGUAGAGGUGAAAUUCGUAGAUAGUUCGGAGGAACACCGAGUGGCGAAGGCGGCUCACUGGCUCGAUACUGACGCUGAGGUGCGAAAGUGUGGGAGCAAACAGGAUUAGAUACCCGUGGUAGCGACU